UACGAAGGGGGCGAGCGUUGUUCGGAAUUACUGGGCGUAAAGGGCUCGUAGGUGGCCAACUAAGUCAGACGUGAAAUCCCUCGGCUUAACCGGGGAACUGCGUCUGAUACUGGAUGGCUUGAGUUCGGGAGAGGGAUGCGGAAUUCCAGGUGUAGCGGUGAAAUGCGUAGAUAUCUGGAGGAACACCGGUGGCGAAGGCGGCAUCCUGGACCGACACUGACACUGAGGAGCGAAAGCCAGGGGAGCAAACGGG
rnacentral:rRNA from 1 species